AAGGCUACUUGAAGAAGAUGAGCACCAAGAAGUCAAGAUUCGGUGAAACUAGGCAAAAUUGGUCCCUCUUAAAAGUCUUUGCUCCAUUCUCGUUACACGAAAAUAAGCAAAGAGGGACAGCUGUAAUGGCCCAAUUUUGCCUGGGCCCAAGACAAAAUACAAAAAAUAAAUAAAACCAAAAAAUAAAUAAAUAAAGUCCAAAUAUCAAAAAGUCCAUUUACAACAGUUACAAGCCUAAAUUACAUUAAAUCCAGCACACCCAAAUACAAGACCAAAUAAAAAAACCCUAAAGGCCAAAUGACCCACAACCUAAACUCAAUUUCAAUAAAAAUUGAAACCGUAAUCUAACCCUAGCCACAUGCCACGUCGGCGCCACUCUCUGCACGCC
rnacentral:lncRNA from 1 species